UCCCUAAUGGUCUAGUGGCUAGGAUUCAGCGCUUUCACCGCUGCGGCCGGGUUCGAUUUCCCGUUAGGGAA